CGGCAGCGGCGGCCGCGGCGGUAGCAAAACAAAUGUGAAAAAGGGAUAACUACAGGUUCUCCGAUUAAUUUUGUGCGACCUACUAGUCUGUUUCGGUGCUCGUGCGGCUGCCUCGGAGCUGACUGUAUCUUAGGUUUCUUCCGACCGAGCGCGCUAAGCGCCCAGCUAUUUCUGGGAGCAAUGAGUAAGCGAAAUGCGCCUUGCAAUGUCAUCGGGUGCAAAGCCAGUGACAGAAAAUCCGUUAAGUCUCGGUAUUUGCUGCCUCAAGAUGAGUCCUUGCGAUCUGCUUGGCUACAGCGCAUUGGCCUUCCUUCCACGGAGACGCGGAAGAACGUACGCGUUUGUGGUAGGCACUUCGCACGUGAUGCCUUCCGUUACGAUCCGGAACUUCUACAGGGCACGGACGCCAGUUGGACACGUUUGCAUUUGAAGGUAAAUGCACUGCCGACGUUGUUCCUUCCCGACAGACAGCACAACGAUCCGCUGCAUGGAGAACCUCAUCGCCAGAUCCCCAGUGCAGCUGCAUCUUGCGAUCCACGGGUGGAAAAUUCACAGGAAGUGAGUUCGAGGUGCGAAAUAACUUUAGCACAAGUAUAACUGAUUACUUGAUCCACAGGUUGGGGCCAGUGAAUUACAUCCAACCGGAGCUGGUCUUCAAGUUUCCUGUCAAGUAGGAUUAUUGCCCUCACUUUACUGAGCUCCUAUACUAAAUCGUUCUGUGCUGUGCUUGAAGCAAAUACCGUUUUAUGGGUUCAGAUUUGCAGAUGCAGCUCCUCUCCUGUGCUACGCACUGUAGCAAGUCAGUGUGCUUUUGCUGCCAGGACUGUUGCUACCGAGACCUCACACAAGGGGGUGUUAAAAAAAGAUGCUGCCACGCAGGUGAAUCUCAACAUCUCUCCUUGUAGAGAAGCAAGUAUGCAGACCGAAACUUGUGACGAACUCACGGAUCCAGCUAAAUCAAGUCCCAGUGAUCCAGCAUGCAUUCCAUCACCAUCAUAGGUAUGGACCAGCACAAGGUUCAACACCAGUGCCAGGUGCAGUAGAAGAGAUAGACACUACGGAACUUGCAACUACUGUUGCUGAGAUCGAUAGAAGCUACCAGCCAUCCUUUGAUGAGAGCUUUGCAAGGUAUAUCAUUGUAUAAUAUGUCAUCUUGCAGUGUGAAUGGCACAAAGAAUGUGAACAACCCUACAUUGCCACAUUGAGCUCGAACUAGCAAUCUCCAAACUAACAAGUUGAAGAGCACAGGUUCUUUUUUUUUUUUGCAAUUUAUAGUACACUGUUCAGUGCCUGCCAAAAGCCAGUGAUCUUAAACAUGGUAUUUCACACUGGCAUGCAAACUGGAAGUUGGAAUACCAAUCUGUAAAAGAUUAUUAUAACAGAAAAAGUGUGCCACAAGACUUUCUUUUUAGCCAGUAGUUCCUUUUAUGUUAGCAUCUAAAGUUUCCUGCACCAGGUUAGAGCAUUGCAAGCAGGCAACAGUGCAUAGCCAACUGUGCCUGAAAAUUGUAAGAUGAAUGUAAGUCACAAAGACAGCUGCAUGUCCUUCUCGAUGUAGGCAUUUCCCAAGCACCAGAGAUGCCUUUGCAUCAGUUGAGUACCACCUGCAACACAUGACUAGUCA
rnacentral:lncRNA from 1 species